rnacentral:rRNA from 1 species
UACAGAGGUCUCAAGCGUUGUUCGGAUUCAUUGGGCGUAAAGAGCUCGUAGGCGGUCUGUCGCGUCGGCUGUGAAAACCCGAGGCUCAACCUCGGGCCUGCAGUCGAUACGGGCAAACUAGAGUACUGCAGGGGAGACUGGAAUUCCUGGUGUAGCGGUGAAAUGCGCAGAUAUCGGGAGGAACACCAGUGGCGAAGGCGACUACCUGGCCUGUUCUUGACGCUGAGGCGCGAAAGCUAGGGGAGCAAACAGG